rnacentral:lncRNA from 1 species
CGGGAGGUACCAACUCUAGAGAAUAGAACGUGGAAAUUAUCUUAGUGUAAAUAACGAUAUUGUGGCACCUGGCACAGUCACGUCUAUCUUCCCACCGCUCAUUGCUGACACUCGCGUGUCUGCUCUCCAAUGCUUGUGUGCGCAUUCCCGCUCGUUUGCAAUAACCAUCAAAAUCUGAAAGACACACAGAACACCGGGAAAUCG